GCCCCAGUAGCUCAGUGGAUAGAGCAACGGCCUUCUAAUCCGUCGGUCGCAGGUUCGAAUCCUGCCUGGGGCA
rnacentral:tRNA from 11 species